rnacentral:rRNA from 1 species
GACGAACGCUGGCGGCGUGCUUAACACAUGCAAGUCGAACGGUGAUGCUCCAGCUUGCUGGAGUGGAUCAGCGGCGAACGGGUGAGUAACACGUGAGCAACCUGCCCCAGACUCUGGAAUAAGCGCUGGAAACGGCGUCUAAUACUGGAUACGAAACUGGCCCGCAUGGGCAUGGUUUGGAAAGUUUUUCGGUUUGGGAUGGGCUCGCGGCCUAUCAGCUUGUUGGUGAGGUAAUGGCUCACCAAGGCGACGACGGGUAGCCGGCCUGAGAGGGCGACCGGCCACACUGGGACUGAGACACGGCCCAGACUCCUACGGGAGGCAGCAGUGGGGAAUAUUGCACAAUGGGCGAAAGCCUGAUGCAGCGACGCCGCGUGAGGGAUGACGGCCUUCGGGUUGUAAACCUCUUUCAGCAGGGAAGAAGCGAAAGUGACGGUACCUGCAGAAGAAGCACCGGCUAACUACGUG